GCCACCACGUCCAGCCUCCUGGGAUAUUUCUCAAUGAAACGUUGGAUGCCAAGAUUGGUUUUGUGCCACAUGCCAAUUUCACAGAAGCCAGUCUAUGAGCCACCAGCUCUACUCAGCAAUUACAACUUCUGGAACUUUGGCUAAAUUCCUGUAGAUGCACCACUGCUUGUGGCCUGACUCUUUGCCACCCAAGUGCGCUCAGCCUCCCCUGGGGAGUCUGCCAGGCUUGCAUGGCUCCCACUGCACUUGCUGUGCUGGGACCGAAAACAGUUUUUGUGCCCCUAGCUUAACUCCACUGGAUUCAUAGAGGCUUUGGCCUCCUCAGUGGCUGUCCUGGGACAGGGAGGCUGGUUAGCACAAUUAACACAACCUGGUCAUGCAAGGCAUUGAUGGUCUGUAACAUGAACUUUGACCAGUAGGAGACAGAGAAUGGAAAAAAGCCAGCAGAUAAAUCAUCUGGCCCUCCUCCCCUAUGACAGACUGUUCUGAGCCACAGUGUUUCACAUGUCUUCCUGGAGAUGUCCCACAUGACUUGAGCAACCAGCUGGAGCUCUGGAGAAACUGUGGCCAUCCUGAGGAAGAAACAGGCCCAGAGAAGUUGGGUAACUCAUCAAAGGUCACAGAGCUAAGAGUGGCAGAGUCAGGCUUGGAGCCCAGGAAGUCUGGUUUUGAAUUUCAUGCUUCUAACCUGAGCACUGUACUGCUUGGUGGAGUUCUCUGCUAGUCCUACCUUUCAGGCAGAGGUGAUGCAGCAAGAAAGCUGCCACCAGAUGCAGCCCCUUGAUCUCGGACUGCCCAGCCUCUAGAACUGUGAGCCAAUUAAAUUUUUCCUUUGUAAAUUA
rnacentral:lncRNA from 1 species